rnacentral:rRNA from 1 species
CGGACGGGUGAGUAAUGCCUAGGAAUCUGCCUGGUAGUGGGGGACGAACGUUUCGAAAGGAACGCUAAUACCGCAUACGUCCUACGGAGAAAGCAGAGGACCUUCGGGCCUUGCGCUAUCAGAUGAGCCUAGGUCGGAUUAGCUAGUUGGUGAGGUAAUGGCUCACCAAGGCGACGAUCCGUAACUGGUCUGAGAGGAUGAUCAGUCACACUGGAACUGAGACACGGUCCAGACUCCUACGGGAGGCAGCAGGC